rnacentral:rRNA from 1 species
CCUACGGGAGGCAGCAGUGGGGAAUUUUGGACAAUGGGGGAAACCCUGAUCCAGCCAUUCCGCGUGAGUGAAGAAGGCCUUCGGGUUGUAAAGCUCUUUCGGCAGGAACGAAACGGCGGACUCUAACAUAGUCUGUCAAUGACGGUACCUGAAGAAGAAGCACCGGCUAACUACGUGCCAGCAGCCGCGGUAAUACGUAGGGUGCGAGCGUUAAUCGGAAUUACUGGGCGUAAAGCGUGCGCAGGCGGCUUUGUAAGACGGAUGUAAAAUCCCUGGGCUAAACCUAGGAACGGCGUGCGUGACUGCAAAGCAAGAGUGCGGCAGAGGGGGGUGAAAUUCCUGGUGUAGCAGUGAAAUGCGUAGAGAUCAGGAGGAACACCGAGGGCGAAGGCGGCCCCCGGGGUUGGCACUGACGCUGAAGCGCGAAAGCGUGGGGAGCGAACGGGAUUAGAUACCCUGGUAGU